rnacentral:rRNA from 1 species
AUACGGAGGGGGCUAGCGUUGUUCGGAAUUACUGGGCGUAAAGCGCACGUAGGCGGAUUAAAAAGUUAGAGGUGAAAUCCCAGGGCUUAACCCUGGAACUGCCUUUAAAACUAGUAGUCUAGAGUUCGAGAGAGGUGAGUGGAAUUCCAAGUGUAGAGGUGAAAUUCGUAGAUAUUUGGAGGAACACCAGUGGCGAAGGCGGCUCACUGGCUCGAUACUGACGCUGAGGUGCGAAAGCGUGGGGAGCAAACAGGAUUAGAUACCCUUGUAGUCC